rnacentral:rRNA from 1 species
UUGGCGGACGGGUGAGUAACGCGUGAGUAACCUGCCUUCAAGAGGGGGAUAACAUUCUGAAAAGAAUGCUAAUACCGCAUAACGUAUCGGGAUGGCAUCUUCCUGAUACCAAAGAUUUUAUCGCUUAGAGAUGGGCUCGCGUCUGAUUAGAUAGUUGGCGGGGUAACGGCCCACCAAGUCGACGAUCAGUAGCCGGACUGGGAGGUUGAACGGCCACAUUGGGACUGAGACACGGCCCAGACUCCUACGGGAGGCAGCAUG